rnacentral:rRNA from 1 species
GAGUAACCUGCCCUUGACUCUGGGAUAAGCCCGGGAAACUGGGUCUAAUACCGGAUAGGAACGUCCACCGCAUGGUGGUUGUUGGAAAGAUUUAUCGGUCAUGGAUGGACUCGCGGCCUAUCAGCUUGUUGGUGAGGUAAUGGCUCACCAAGGCGACGACGGGUAGCCGGCCUGAGAGGGUGACCCGCACACUGGACUGAGAACGAUCAGACUCUACGGAGCAGCAGUGGGGAUAUGCACAUGGCGAAAGCUGAUGCAGCGACGCCGCGUGAGGGAUGACGGCCUUUCGGGUUGUAAACCUCUUUCAGUAGGGAAGAAGCGAAAGUGACGGUACCUGCAGAAGAAGCACCGGCUAACUACGUGCCAGCAGCCGCGGUAAUACGUAGGGUGCGAGCGUUAUCCGGAAUUAUUGGGCGUAAAGAGCUCGUAGGCGGUUUGUCGCGUCUGUCGUGAAAGUCCGGGGCUUAACCCCGGAUCUGCGGUGGGUACGGGCAGACUAGAGUGCAGUAGGGGAGACUGGAAUUCCUGGUGUAGCGGUGGAAUGCGCAGAUAUCAGGAGGAACACCGAUGGCGAAGGCAGGUCUCUGGGCUGUAACUGACGCUGAGGAGCGAAAGCAUGGGGAGCGAACAGGAUUAGAUACCCUGGUAGUCCAUGCCGUAAACGUUGGGCACUAGGUGUGGGGACCAUUCCACGGUUUCCGCGCCGCAGCUAACGCAUUAAGUGCCCCGCCUGGGGAGUACGGCCGCAAGGCUAAAACUCAAAGGAAUUGACGGGGGCCCGCACAAGCGGCGGAGCAUGCGGAUUAAUUCGAUGCAACGCGAAGAACCUUACCAAGGCUUGACAUGUUCUCGAUCGCCGUAGAGAUACGGUUUCCCCUUUGGGGCGGGAUCACAGGUGGUGCAUGGUUGUCGUCAGCUCGUGUCGUGAGAUGUUGGGUUAAGUCCCGCAACGAGCGCAACCCUCGUUCCAUGUUGCCAGCACGUAAUGGUGGGGACUCAUGGGAGACUGCCGGGGUCAACUCGGAGGAAGGUGGGGACGACGUCAAAUCAUCAUGCCCCUUAUGUCUUGGGCUUCACGCAUGCUACAAUGGCCGGUACAAUGGGUUGCGAUACUGUGAGGUGGAGCUAAUCCCAAAAAGCCGGUCUCAGUUCGGAUUGGGGUCUGCAACUCGACCCCAUGAAGUCGGAGUCGCUAGUAAUCGCAGAUCAGCAACGCUGCGGUGAAUACGUUCCCGGGCCUUGUACACACCGCCCGUCAAGUCACGAAAGUCGGUAACACCCGAAGCCGGUGGCCUAACCCUUGUGGGGGGAGCCGUCGAAGGAUG